AUGAUGGAUAUGAUCGGGUGGUUCUGCUGGUGGCACGAUGAUACUCCAAUGGUCCGUCAGUGAUCCAAAUUUACCGUUCAAAAAAAAUGAUAGUUUGAAACUUUUGAGUCCCCAUCAUGUGUAGCGGGGAAAUGAAGUGGUGUGAAGCCCAACCUCCGCCUCCCGCAGCAUGAUCUUCGAAUUUUGGCUCCCGACGUUACCAUUAAAACGCUGCUUUUGUUGUUGGUUUCAAAAAAAAAAAUUUGUAUGAUCAUAGGGUAAGGGUUGCUUUUGUUUUAUUUUUCUAAAAAAGAUAAUUGGGUAGGGGUGAGAAAAAAACCGAAUUAACCGACAAAACCGAAUAACGGGUCGCUUAUGGUUAUCAAUGUUUCCAUGCCCAACAUAAUGAACCGAAUCAAGAUGUAGUAAACUCUUUGUUGGAUUUUAGACUUUUCACCAUUUUUCAAUAGUUGAUGUUUUUGAUUAAAUGUGUGUUAGAAUUUAUGGAUUAUAUUAUAUCGUUUUGGUUGAAAGUCUGUUUGAAUUUAUUGUUUAUAUCAUAUCGUUUUAUUUGAAUAUUCAUAAAUAAUUGGUAUUAAUAUUAUAGAUUAUAUAUGUUUU
rnacentral:lncRNA from 1 species